rnacentral:rRNA from 1 species
GGCGGACGGGUGAGUAAUAUGUAGAGAAGUCUGCCCUUGAGUGGGGGACAACAGAGGGAAACGUUCUGCUAAUACCCCAUAUGAGCUAACUUGAAAUAGUUAUCUUGAAAACUCCGGUGCUCAAGGAUGAGUCUGCAUCUGAUUAGCUAGUUGGCGGUGUAAUGGACCACCAAGGCGACGAUCAGUAGCUGGUUUGAGAGGAUGAUCAGCCACAAUGGGACUGAGACACGGCCCAUACUCCUACGGGAGGCAGCAGUAGGGAAUUUUGCGCAAUGGGCGAAAGCCUUGACGCAGCAACGCCGCGUGAACGAUUAAGCCCUUCGGGGUGUAAAGUUCUGUCAGUAGGGACGAAUUUUGACGGUACCUACAGAGGAAGCACCGGCUAACUCCGUGCCAGCAGCAGC